GAUGAACGCUGGCGGCGUGCUUAACACAUGCAAGUCGAACGAUGAAGCUCAGCUUGCUGGGUGGAUUAGUGGCGAACGGGUGAGUAACACGUGAGUAACCUGCCCUUAACUCUGGGAUAAGCCUGGGAAACUAGGUCUAAUACCGGAUAGGAGCGCCUACCGCAUGGUGGGUGUUGGAAAGAUUUAUCGGUUUUGGAUGGACUCGCGGCCUAUCAGCUUGUUGGUGAGGUAAUGGCUCACCAAGGCGACGACGGGUAGCCGGCCUGAGAGGGUGACCGGCCACACUGGGACUGAGACACGGCACAGACUCCUACGGGAGGCAGCAGUGGGGAAUAUUGCACAAUGGGCGAAAGCCUGAUGCAGCGACGCCGCGUGAGGGAUGACGGCCUUCGGGUUGUAAACCUCUUUCAGUAGGGAAGAAGCGAAAGUGACGGUACCUGCAGAAGAAGCACCGGCUAACUACGUG
rnacentral:rRNA from 1 species